UUUAAGAAAUCCAGCUCUAAAAUUGAAAUCCUAGGAACCGUCUUGACCACUGCUGGCUGUGUGACUGAGUCGUUCAACACGGCUGGUCUGUCUGGUCAAGCUAUAGGAUUACUUAAUGGUGUUGUGGAAAAAACGUUGGAG